rnacentral:rRNA from 1 species
ACACGGGUUGAUGCCUCUGUACGGCGAGUGAGCGGCAAAAGCUCAAAUUUGAAAUCUAGCACCUUCGGUGUUCGAGUUGUAAUUUGAAGAUGGUAACCUUGGGUUUGGCUCUUGUCUAUGUUCCUUGGAACAGGACGUCAUAGAGGGUGAGAAUCCCGUCUGAUGAGAUGCCCAUUCCUAUGUAAGGUGCUAUCGAAGAGUCGAGUUGUUUGGGAAUGCAGCUCUAAGUGGGUGGUAAAUUCCAUCUAAAGCUAAAUAUUGGCGAGAGACCGAUAGCGAACAAGUACAGUGAUGGAAAGAUGAAAAGAACUUUGAAAAGAGAGUGAAAAAGUACGUGAAAUUGUUGAAAGGGAAGGGCAUUAGAUCAGACUUGGUGUUUUACGAUUAUCUUCUCUUCUUGAGUUGUGCACUCGUAUUUCACUGGGCCAGCAUCGAUUCGGAUGGCAAGAUAAUGGCAGUUGAAUGUGGCUUCACUUCGGUGGAGUGUUAUAGCUUCUGCUGAUAUUGCCUGUCUGGAUCGAGGGCUGCGUCUUUUGACUAGGAUGCUGGCGUAAUGAUCUAAUGCCGCCCGUCUUGAAACACGGACCAA